rnacentral:rRNA from 1 species
UACGGGGGGGGCAAGCGUUGUUCGGAAUUACUGGGCGUAAAGGGCUCGUAGGUUGCCAACUAAGUCAGACGUGAAAUCCCUCGGCUUAACCGGGGAACUGCGUCUGAUACUGGAUGGCUUGAGUUUGGGAGAGGGAUGCGGAAUUCCAGGUGUAGCGGUGAAAUGCGUAGAUAUCCGGAGGAACACCGGUGGCGAAGGCGGCUUCCUGGACCGACACUGACGCUGAGGCGCGAAAGCUAGGGGAGCAAACGGG